UCUUUUGUCCAGCAGAAAUCUCAGGAACUACAAAUGAUAUCAGCAAGAAAAUUGGAGAAAAUGUAGGUAAGGUAUUGUAGUUGUGCAGGAAGUUAAAAUUAUUGGCUAAACUUUUUAACUUUAAGCUGGUAUUAAUUCGGUAAGACACAUAGAACAAAAGUUGUGUGUAAUUACAAGAGCUUUCGAAUGAAAUCAAGAAAAAGGGGCUGGCCCCUAUAUUUAGGGGUCAGCAGCUCAUAAACGUGUUUUUUUUAAUACUUAAAAAUGUUGACAUAUAUUGAAAAAGUUUGAAUGAAAUAAUCUUUAGGAUAUCAAAUCUUGUCAUUUGGUAUGAUAAGAAACAAGCUUUGUGCUAUAUUUAUUUCUAUUUCAUAAAAGAAAUGUGUGAGAAUCGUACAGGAACAAGUUGUCUGUACAAGCCCGCCAAGCUGUUUCGGGGCCUCAUGCUUGUGUAGUGCUUAGAUAGUUGAUUUAAAUACAUUGUUUUGAUUCGACUUCUCUUUUUUAAUUUAUUUAAAUAAUUAACAAAAUGCAAUGUUUUUACACGAUGAACUGUUAAACAUCAUGUAUGUAUGUAUGUUAUCAGUGCAGAGCAAGUCUUUACGGGGCCUCCUGGAUGUAAACAUUCACGAGAGGCAUUGUGGGAAGGCUAGAGAAUGCCGAAAUCAAAUUGUGAUGUGUACAUUUUAUCACCGUAUGUAGACAUGUAUAUUCAUUGUACAGCUUCGAGCACAUGAACUGCCCUCGAUUACGCACUUGGAGCAUUAGUCAAUACUAACGAAGGAUAUAUUGUUGUCUGAAUUGUUUACCAAGUUUCGACUACGAGAAAAUUCUGACGGUCAUAUUUGCAAUGGAUUGAUAAACACAUAAAGAUACAGUGCAGAUAUAUUUAUAAACUGUCCCCAGUGAUAUUGUAACUAGUAAGGAAAAGUUAAUGGUGACACUUUAAUGUGUGAUGGAAUUGGACGUUGCUAAAAAGAUUUGGUGCCGUUAACCACCCCUGGACUUGGAGGUGAAAGUCCUCCCAGGGGCAAAUAAGAACUUGGGUUGCGUCUUCGAGGGCGAAGACAAUUUAAGGAGGGAGGAAUGUAAUGGUUCUGGCUGUGGAUAUCGGCCUGGGUAGCUCAGUCGGUAGAGCACCUGACUAGUGAUGCAGGGGUCCCGGGUUCGAUUCCCGUUACAGCCAUACAUUUUCUCCUUUCCUGUUACAUAUAUAUAUAGCGACAAUUUCUUUUCCUUUUUUUCUUUUUUGGCAUCUUAUUUUAGGGCUACAGUAUUAAUUUUGGGCUCAUUUACUAGGAAUAUUAUAACUUUAUUGGAAUUGUCCCACUGAAUUAAAGGGAACUUGUAUUUUGAGGUAGGUGUGUUUACUGUCAAUUUUCUCUCUUAAAUGCCGCAUAAGGCGUCUUUUUUCUGAUCUCAAAUUUUUGCCCAAGAAUUAAUCUUUAUUUUCUCUUUCAUUAAAUAUCUGAUGACAGUCUAUUUAAUUAAUUAAUUUUAUUAAAGCUAUAUAGUAACAUAUAGUGAAAUUAUUUCCUUGUGUGAGACCUUAAGAGUAACAGGUAACGUUCAUUUUGACUGCAAUUUCUCUGAUUUCAGGAGUAGCCUCCCCUGUUAAAGAUCAAUAAUGGUGGAUAAGCAAUGCAGGAUGCUGUCAUGUCAUCAACAGAGAGUUUUGACACCCGUAUACCCGUAUUUCUACCAAUCACCUCUGUAAUCUUUGUUGUGUUCAUCAGACAGAUGAUGGACCACUCUACUUCCUUUUACAACAGGUGCCCCUACAGAUUCACAAAGUUCCAAUGUUGAUUUUCCAUGACCCCCCAUUCAUCCGCGACAGGAAAAGGAAUGAAGUUGACAGGAUUUUCCGCACUGUCCUUGGUAGCAGCUUAUGAUAGAACGGACAGCAGUAGACAUGGCCUGCUUCAUCAAAGGUCUGCUGCAUGUUGGUAGCUGAUGCUGGUUCAAUAUUUGCGCCAAGAAGCAUACCACGCAUACCCUCUGUAGUAAGGCUGGUACCCAUGUGACCGACAGCCAUAGCCACAUUUAGCUGUGCAGCUCUGCGUCCCCUUCUGGAUCUCCCCACCUCUUCAUACAGCUUUUCACGGCGACUUGUAUAGUGGCACUUCUUACAUCGGAUGGAAAGGAUCCAUGCCAGGCCUCGUUUUUCCUCCCCAUGCUGGUUCCAGUCCAGUGAACCAUUACAGUCUGUAAACUUCUAGCUGCCUGGUCUUCUAAGAGAAACUCCAUUCUUUGAUGACUGAUGGAAAAGCCUCAUCACUCCCUACUGCUAAAGAACCACUUAUCUUAAUCACCAGCCAUUUAUCAGUGAUCACUGUUAUCAAAGCUCCAUGGUGUGCAUGAUGCAACUUCCUGGAUGUUUGUCAACAUGUGAAACCCACGUGUAUUUUGAGGUGCGACAGUAUGUCUCCAGGUUAAGUGAUUGUGUAGAUUGAUUCCCAGCAUAUCGAUGAUUUGCCAAAAGAGCAUAUGAAUAGAAAAUUGGUGAUGCUUAAAAAUAUCAGCAGAAUACAGAAAUUAAGAGACACAGAUGGACAAAAACCCUCUUAUCUAAUAUAAUUUACAUAUUAGGCCUAUACAACUAGAAAAUGUAACAAGUGAAAUUUAAAUGUAUGCAUAUAUUUACUGUAAAUGUAUUAUAUUCAGCGUGUACGAUAUUUGGUGGAAAUUGAUUUUUGAACAAGUUAGCGUGAAUUUGAUUUAGCGAAUUCCUUUUUGUUUUUAGCUCACCUGAGCUGAAAGCCCAAGUGAGCUUUUCUGAUCACCCAUAUUCCGGCGUCCGUCCGUCUGUAAACUUUUCACAUUUUCAACUUCUUCUCAACAACCACUGGGCCAAUUUCAACCACAGUUGGCACAAAACAUCCUUAGGUAAAGGGAAUUCUAAAUUGUUAAAAUAAAGGGCCAGGCCACCUUCCAAGGGGAGAUAAUCAAGAAAAGGUAAAAAUAGGGUAGGGUCAUUAAAAAAUCUUCUUCUCAAGAACCACUGGGCCAGAAAAGAUGAAAUUUAUAGAUAAGCUUUAUUAGGUAGUGCAGAUUGUAAAUUGUUAAAAGCAUGGCCCCCGGGGGUCGGAUGGGGCCACAAUAGGGGAUCAAAGUUUUACAUACAAAUAUAUAGGGAAAAUCUUUAAAAAUCUUCUUCUCAAGAACCACUGAGCCAGAAAAGCUGAGAUUUAUAUGAAAGCUUCCUUAUAUAAUGUAAAUUCUAAAUUGUUAAAAUCAUGGCCCCCGUGGGUCGGAUGGGGCCACAAUAGGGGAUCAAAGUUUUACAUACAAAUAUAUAGGGAAAAUCUUUAAAAAUCUUCUUGUCAAGAACCACUGAGCCAGAAAAGCUGAGAUUUAUAUGAAAGCUUCCUUAUAUAAUGCAGAUUCUAAAUUGUUAAAAUAAUGGCCUCCGGGGGUCGGAUGGGGCCAGAAUAGGGGGUCAAAGUUGUUUUUGUUUGUUUUUUGUUGUUUUGUUUUUGUUUUUGUUGUUGUUUUUUUUUGUUUUUUUUGUUUUUUUUUAAUAUAGUGCAGAUUCAAGUUUGUUAAAAUCAUGGACCCCGGGGAUUGGAUGGGGCCUUAAGGGGGGCAUCAAAGUUUUACAUACAAAUUUAUAGGAAAAAUCUUUUAAAAUCUUCUUCUCAAGAACCACUGAGCCAGAAAAGCUGAGAUUUAUAUGAAAGCUUCCUGAUAUAGUGCAGAUUAUAAAUUGAUAAGAUCAUGGCCCCUGGGGGUCGGAUGGGGCCACAAUAGGGGGUCAAAGUUUUACAUACAAAUAUAUAGGAAAAAUCUUUAAAAAUCUUCCCAGAACCAGUAAGCCAGAAAAGCUGAGAUUUAUAUGAACCAUUGGGCCAAAGAAGUUCAUAUUUACAUGAAAGCUUUCUGACAUAGUGUAGAUUCAAGUUUGCAAAAACCAUGGCCUCCAGGGAUAGGUUUGGGGCCAUAAUAGGGACUACGGUUUUACAUGCAAAUAGAUAUGGAAAAUCUUCUGAUAUGGACCAAGGUGACUCAGGUGAGCGAUGUGGCCCAUGGGCCUCUUGUUUUAUUUAUGUGUAGAGUGUAAGACAUUUAGCGUUGUAUUUGAAUGAGCGGUAGUUGCUUUCCGCCAAAGGCGCUAAAAAGAAUACACAACCAAAUGUAAUACGUUUACAGUAUUAGAGCUGUUUUAAUGUAUACAAUUGUGUAUACAUGGUUGCUUGUUUGUUGACUCAGUGUAUAGAACAUGUACUACUAUAAUGUACAUCUUUCAUGUGUUAUUUCAAUGUGAUGUUGAAUCACAUUUAAAAUACAGCAAAGCUUUUACAGCUGAAUCCUGUUGUUUUUUUUAAUUAUGUACAGUUUUGAUUUCCCAACAGAUCAAAAAAUAAACAUAGAGAAUUCUUCA